rnacentral:lncRNA from 1 species
AGUUGAUCAAGUCCUCUCAUUUCAGGUUCAUUUUCUUUAGUACUAUUGGGUUUAUUGAGUCGUCUCAUUUUGAGGUUUUGAAUGUUUCACUGUAUUUCUUUGCAUUCACUAUGUGUGUUCUUAUUAUUUCAUAUUCCAAUUUGUUUUGCUUUACAGUGGAUUUGUCAAAUAUUUAUGGUGGCUCAUUCCAUGAAAAUGGAAUGUACUUGGCAACUUUUGAGGCAAGAAAGUUGUUGCAGCAGUGGACCUUGGUAAAAUGUAGAUUUAUUUUGUUUUUUUGGUGUAAAUCUUUUUUCUAUAUAAACGUAGCUACAUUAGAAUUGUCAUUCAGUUGUUUUAUAUACUCUAGAUUACAUUGUAACAUUGGAAAGUGAUGAAUUUGUUUACACUUAUGAUAACAUGACAAAAAUAGUGCAGGGUCAUAGGAACGAUCAAUUCUACUUGGCUACAAAAGGUGGAAUAAUACUUCUACAAGGGAUGAUUCCAAACACUGACAUGGUCAUAAGGAGCAACACAGUAUCAAUCCAGCUAAUGAAUUCACCUGGUGCUCAAAUUAGUCAAGUUCGUAAUGUUAUAUGUCAACAGAAUGACAACCAUACAACACUGUACAGGCAUUUGGGGAACCAAGUAGUCGCUGUUCUCAUGUAUGCAAGGUGUACAGGAGUAUAAUGAACCAUUUAUUGGUAGGUUUAUAUGUUGGAUAUUCCACGACCAUAGAAUUUUGUGCACG